AAAAGUUGGGGAGACCUGACGCUGAAAGAUGGACUCGCGUCCCAUUAGCUAGUUGGUAGGGUAAUGGCCUACCAAGGCGACGAUGGGUAGCCGGCCUGAGAGGGUGGCCGGCCACACUGGGACUGAGACACGGCCCAGACUCCUACGGGAGGCAGCAGUGGGGAAUUUUGCGCAAUGCUCGUAAGAGUGACGCAGCGACGCCGCGUGAAUGACGAAGGCCUUCGGGUCGUAACGUUCUUUCGACAGGGAAGAAAAUGCCUAUAAGUAACUGUGUAUGUAUUGACGGUACCUGUAUAAGCAGCCCCGGCUAACUCCGUGCCAGCAGCCGCGGUAAUACGGAGGGGGCGAGCGUUGUUCGGAGUGACUGGGCGUAAAGAGCACGUAGGCGGUGUUGUAAGUCAUUAGUCAAAGACUAGAGCUCAACUUUAGUAAGGCUAGUGAUACUAUAAUACUAGAGUAUCAGAGAGGAUUGCAGAAUUCCUGGUGUAGCGGUGAAAUGCGUAGAUAUCAGGAGGAAUACCGUUAGCGAAGGCGGCAAUCUGGCUGGAAACUGACGCUGAGGUGCGAAAGCGUGGGUAGCAAACAGGAUUAGAUACCCUGGUAGUCCACGCUGUAAACGAUGGAUGCUAGGUGU
rnacentral:rRNA from 1 species